rnacentral:lncRNA from 1 species
UGAGGAAACUGAGGGCCAGAGAAGUAAAGUGACUCACCCAGUGACAACCAGCAGACCAAUGCCGGAGCCGGGAUCACAACUCAGGUCCUUCUGACUUCCAGGCCCGUGCUCUAACCAUGAGGCCAAGCACCAUACUAAGCACCGUGGGAGAUGAAAGCUCAUCGGGUCACAACCAGUCUCUGCCCUCCUGGAGUUUUCAGCCUCAUUGCGAUGGAUCGAGUGGUAGGCCUCGUGCCCGGCUUCCAGAGGAAAAUCACCAAGCAGGUCUUGGGAAGAAAGACCAUGUGGGAGUGAUGUCAAGGAACAGUCCUUCUGGGCUCCAAAGGGAUAUUUAUUCCUGGGAUCCAGCACUGAUCUAGAGAAAAGAAAUUAAAUAAUCUUUGACUAACAUGGAGACAAGAAGCAAGACCAUCAUUUCCUCCCUGUCCUGAUACGUGUGCCCCACACCACCGAGGAAGUGCCAGGGUAAGCCUAAGCUCUGGGGGCUUCAGAUAAGGGGUCCUCCGG